GAUGAACGCUGGCGGCGUGCCUAAUACAUGCAAGUCGAGCGAACAGAUGAGGAGCUUGCUCCUCUGACGUUAGCGGCGGACGGGUGAGUAACACGUGGAUAACCUACCUAUAAGACUGGGAUAACUUCGGGAGACCGGAGCUAAUACCGGAUAAUAUAUUGAACCGCAUGGUUCAAUAGUGAAAGACGGUUUUGCUGUCACUUAUAGAUGGAUCCGCGCCGCAUUAGCUAGUUGGUAAGGUAACGGCUUACCAAGGCAACGAUGCGUAGCCGACCUGAGAGGGUGAUCGGCCACACUGGAACUGAGACACGGUCCAGACUCCUACGGGAGGCAGCAGUAGGGAAUCUUCCGCAAUGGGCGAAAGCCUGACGGAGCAACGCCGCGUGAGUGAUGAAGGUCUUCGGAUCGUAAAACUCUGUUAUUAGGGAAGAACAAAUGUGUAAGUAACUAUGCACGUCUUGACGGUACCUAAUCAGAAAGCCACGGCUAACUACGUG
rnacentral:rRNA from 1 species